AAACUUCUGGGGCGUGCGUGGCUGCACAAUUUGAACCUACAAAUAUGACAUACGGGAUUCCGAUAUUUGAGGUAUUGAUAUAAUGCCUUCCCAAGGGUAAAGGACUAUAGAUGUAUCCGUGAGGUAACCCACCUGGCUGCGAGCUAGGAGUCAAGCGUGCAGUACGGCGUUCUGGGGUCUCU
rnacentral:other from 1 species